ACAAAAGGCUCGAUAAAGAGUACUCCAUCAUAAGAACAGAAAAACAGGUAAAAACAAGUGCAAGGAUAUUAUUGUUUUUAAAUAAACAAAUCUUUUGUUUGCUUUUUUUCUUUUCUUGCCGAUAUUUAAGACUUGGUAUCUUUGUCUUAAACAUGUUACAUUAUUGUUUUAAAUGGGACAAAUGUAAAAAGUACACUUAUUGCAAGGUGACAUGCCAGAAACACUCAUACUAACUAUUAUUGUUUGCUGUUUGCGUUCAGGAGGUUCUGAACUCCCUGCAGCAUGCCCAACAGCUGCUCCAGCGGCAGACCGAGGUGGUCAGCAAAGUGGAAGCAGAGUUGAAUGCACUACAAGAGAAAUAUCAGGUCCUUGAAAGAGACAAUACACUUCUGAGAGAGAAGACCAAAGAAAAGGAAGACCGAUUUUUACACCUAACAGAGGAACAUGACAAAUCUAAAACAAACUGGGAAAAAGAGGAGGAGAAGUUACAUGAAGAAAUCCUUGUUGCAAAUAAUGAGUUUAAAUCAAUAAAAGAAGCUUAUGAUCAUCUCUGUGAACAGAACAGCCUGUUAACAACAUGCAGGGUUCAGCAAGCAGAACAAAUACAACAAUUAGAGAGUGCUUUGAAAACAGAGCACUGCAAGGCUGGUGAAGAUCUAAACAAAGAAAAUAGCAGAAUAUCCAUUGCAAUUGUCAGUGAGUUACACACUCAAGAAGAAGAAAAGACAUGUCAAGGGAAGGCAGAUCAUACAGAGAAAGUUCAAAAGAAAAAUAACAAAACAGAAGACACCACCAGUACUGCUGUUGUUAAAG